rnacentral:rRNA from 1 species
ACCUACGGGGGGCAGCAGUGGGGAAUUUUGGACAAUGGGCGAAAGCCUGAUCCAGCAAUGCCGCGUGCAGGAAGAAGGCCUUCGGGUUGUAAACUGCUUUUGUACGGAACGAAACGAUCCUUUUUAAUAAAGAGGGUUAAUGACGGUACCGUAAGAAUAAGCACCGGCUAACUACGUGCCAGCAGCCGCGGUAAUACGUAGGGUGCGAGCGUUAAUCGGAAUUACUGGGCGUAAAGCGUGCGCAGGCGGUUAUGUAAGACAGUUGUGAAAUCCCCGGGCUUAUCCUGGGAAUUGCAUCUGUGACUGCAUGGCUAGAGUACGGUAGAGGGGGAUGGAAUUCCGCGUGUAGCAGUGAAAUGCGUAGAUAUGCGGAGGAGCACCGAUGGCGAAGGCAAUCCCCUGGACCUGUACUGACGCUCAUGCACGAAAGCGUGGGGAGCAAACAGGAUUAGAUACCCGGGUAGUCCC